rnacentral:rRNA from 1 species
GACGAACGCUGGCGGCGUGCUUAACACAUGCAAGUCGAACGAAAAGGCCCUGCUUUUGUGGGGUACUCAAGUGGCGAACGGGUGAGUAACAAGUGAGUAACCUGCCCUUGACUUUGGGAUAACUUCCGGAAACUAGGGCUAAUACCGGCUAGGAGCUCCUGCUGCAUGGUGGGGGGUGGAAAUUUUCGGCGGUUGGGGCUGGACUCGCGGCUUAUCAGCUUGUUGGUGGGGUAGUGGCUUACCAAGGCUUUGACGGGUAGCCGGCCUGAGAGGGUGACCGGCCACAGUGGGACUGAGAUACGGCCCAGACUCCUACGGGAGGCAGCAGUGGGGAAUAUUGCACGAUGGGCGGAAGCCUGAUGCAGCAACGCCGCGUGCGGGAUGACGGCCUUCGGGUUGUAAACCGCUUUCGCCUGUGACGAAGCGUGAGUGACGGUAAUGGGUAAAGAAGCACCGGCUAACUACGUG